AUUAAACGCUGGCGGCAUGCCUUACACAUGCAAGUCGAGCGGCAGCGCGGGGGCAACCCUGGCGGCGAGCGGCGAACGGGUGAGUAACAUAUCGGAACGUACCCCGUCGUGGGGGAUAACACAGCGAAAGCUGUGCUAAUACCGCAUACGACCUGAGGGUGAAAGCGGGGGAUCGCAAGACCUCGCGCGAUGGGAGCGGCCGAUAUCGGAUUAGCUUGUUGGUGAGGUAAAGGCUCACCAAGGCGACGAUCCGUAGCUGGUCUGAGAGGACGACCAGCCACACUGGAACUGAGACACGGUCCAGACUCCUACGGGAGGCAGCAGUGGGGAAUUUUGGACAAUGGGGGCAACCCUGAUCCAGCCAUUCCGCGUGAGUGAAGAAGGCC
rnacentral:rRNA from 1 species